CCUGGACACUCACUCAAAAAUCUAGGGUUUCCAUCGGCACCGCAGACGGCUGAGAUUUCGGAUCGAGGGUUCUAUUUCAUCGAUUACGAAAAGGCUUUGCAAUGAUGAAAUCUUGAAAAAGGAUGAUGAGUGAUUGGAGCGUCGUCUCCAGUGUGAUAUCUCUUAAAACUGCAAAGGAUUUCUGAGCAAAGAUUGUAGCUCUAAUUAUUAGAAGAAAAACGAAGAGCUUUACAGAUCUGACGUUUUUUGUC